UUAUAACUCGGAUAAAUUCAUGUGUUUUCUUUUUUCACCCCAGACGCAUCAAAAGGCAUAUCCCUGACACCUGAUGACCACACCACGUGCUAAACUGUAAGCCUCUGCUUCAAAGCAUUAAGCCUGGAAGCAUGCUCUAUGGAAACUGGAAAUCCUGACAGGAGGAGUCACAAAAUGCUUCCUUGUCUGAUGUAAUGUCAUGGCAGCUGGCAUGAGAGUCUCUGAUAAUGGUGUGUGCAACACUUGCAUGAAGAUUGUAACAGAAACUGUGUAUUUUCAGAUGAAUGGCUUCAAUUUGUCCAUGUAAUAUUAUGUACAUAUGUCCUUCUGGCAGAACCAGGGGAUAGCUCUGAUUUUACCCUAAUAUGUUAUCACAGUUGUUCAUGACUUGAAUCUAAAUGUUAUUAAAUAUCAGCUCCCAUUUAGUACUUUACCAAAAAGAAGCAGCUCUGCCAGUGCCCAUUUUUAUUUAAUUUAACAAAAGGUAUGCACUAAACAGCUACAGAUUUCCAUUUUGAAAAUUACAGCACUGGAUUCCUCGAGCCACAGUCUAUAUUGGUAUAAAUCAGCAGAGCUGCGCUGAAGCCAGUAGCACUAUGUCACUUUGCAUAAUAAUCUGACCUCCUCAUUCUUGCCUCAAAACACUCAUAUGAUGUAGGCAAAGAUUACUAGGCUUUUAAUUUAGCUGGUCUGCUGUAUAGCUUCUCUCUGCUCUCAGGCUCUUAUUGCGCCUCUGUGGUCAGCAAAGGAACAUACAGCAAGAGAGAGAGAGAGACUGCAGCCGGGUUUAUUUUAAACAAUUUCUAAAAUCCAAACGAAUGUUGAGGCCAAGAGGAUGUUUUCCUUGGUGGCAGAAAUACAAGCAUCCUGGAUUCUGUUUUCCUGCUAAUAGGUAUAAAGACGAAUAAACAGCUGCUUUCUGUUUUCCCAAAAAUAUUUGCAUUAAGAUGAUCUGCAAAUUCCUGCUCAGAUUGAUGGAACAUCUCUUCAAAUGAGGACCAGCUGCUUGCUUUGUUUGUUUAUGGCAGGACAUGCUUAAGAGACCUUUUUUUUUGUUUUGUUUGUUUAUUAAAAUGUGGGACCAGACUCUUUCUGGUGGGCUGUAAUUGCAGUGUGGGUGAUGUCUGAAUAAGGGGAGAGUCUGUGCAUGUAACUGUGGUUGCAGCCAUCCCACCUUCUGCUGUGAUUUUCUGCGAUUGUCAGCUAACCAAAGUUGGACUAGGGCUAUUCAUGAAUGGGAGGCUUCCAAGAAAUGCCAAAACAGAGGAAGAGCACGUGACGUUGUUACUACUGAACUAUUCCAAGUGGUAUACUAUCUAAAAGUGUUGCCUUUGGUAUGAGAUAUUUAAAAAGGCUUUCUAAUUUGGUACCCUUAAAAAGCAUACAGUAUUAAUUUCCAAGAAUAUAUAUGAUGUUAACUGCAAGGUGCUGGGGUAAUAAUACAAAACUAAGCAAUGACAUGCUCUUGGCUUAAGUUCCCUUUGUAGUUUGCAGUUGGAUACAGGAUUUUUGCCUUCCAUUCCACGUUGCACAGAAACUACUUUGCAACAAUAUUAAACAAUUGUGUUCCUCCCUAGAGCUGGUUGCACUUCAUGGCUGAAGAAGCAACCCUUGUGCAUCCUGUUGUCCCUAUAUUGUUUUUUGAAUUGCCUAUAAAAUUCCACAGGGAUUUAUGAUUUUCUGGAACCAAUAAUAUUAAUAAUCAACAUAUAACUGUU